rnacentral:sRNA from 1 species
UCCUCUCAGUCCGUCUGUAUUAUGGACUAGAUGAUCUCCAGGGAUCCUUCUAACUCGGACCCUCUGGGAUGCCGGGCAUCAUCACUGUGGGGGUGCUUCCCAGUUCGCCUUGCCAAGGAGAAGGAGGAGGAGAGCUUGAAUCAAGAGACCAGAGCCCAACCCCAGGCCAAAGCAGAAAGCAAACCAGAAGAGGAGGAGCCAGCCAAGCUCCCUGCGGUCACGGUCACACCAGCCCCUGUUCCAGACAUCAAGGGAGAUCAGAAGGAGAAUCCAGGCGGUCAGGAAGAUGUGGCUGAGGCCGAGAGCACAGGUGAAAUGCCAGGCGAAGAGGGCGAAACUGCUGGUGAAGGUGAAACUGAAGAGAAAAGUGGAGGUGAAACUCAACCAGAAGGUGAAGGUGAAACUGAAACACAAGGAAAAGGAGAAGAAUGUGAAGAUGAAAAUGAAGCAGAAGGAAAAGGAGACAAUGAAGGUGAAGAUGAGGGUGAAAUCCACGCAGAAGAUGGUGAAAUGAAAGGUAAUGAAGGUGAAACUGAAAGCCAGGAACUCAGUGCUGAAAAUCACAGUGAAGCCAAAAAUGAUGAGAAAGGUGUAGAAGAUGGAGGGGGAAGUGAUGGAGGGGAUAGCGAAGAGGAGGAAGAGGAGGAGGAAGAGCAGGAGGAAGAGGAGGAGGAGGAAGAGCAGGAGGAAGAGGAGGAGGAAGAGGAGGAGAAGGGAAAUGAAGAGCCUCUGUCCCUGGACUGGCCUGAAACCAGGCAGAAGCAGGCCAUUUACCUCUUCCUUCUGCCCAUCGUGUUCCCACUGUGGCUGACAGUCCCCGACGUCCGAAGGCAGGAGUCUAGGAAGUUUUUUGUUUUCACCUUCCUGGGAUCUAUCGUGUGGAUAGCCAUGUUCUCAUACCUCAUGGUGUGGUGGGCUCACCAGGUUGGUGAAACAAUAGGGAUUUCUGAAGAGAUCAUGGGCCUGACAAUCCUUGCAGCAGGCACAUCAAUUCCUGACCUCAUCACCAGUGUGAUUGUCGCUCGAAAAGGCCUGGGAGACAUGGCUGUGUCAAGCUCUGUGGGCAGUAACAUAUUUGAUAUCACUGUGGGCUUGCCUGUUCCUUGGUUGCUUUUCUCUCUUAUCAAUGGAUUACAGCCAGUUCCAGUCAGCAGCAAUGGCUUGUUUUGUGCAAUUGUUUUGCUUUUUCUCAUGCUUCUGUUUGUGAUCUCUUCAAUUGCGUCAUGUAAAUGGAGAAUGAACAAGAUCCUGGGCUUCACAAUGUUCCUCCUUUACUUUGUAUUCCUGAUAAUCAGUGUGAUGUUAGAAGAUCGAAUCAUAUCCUGUCCUGUAUCUGUCUGAAUCAGUCACUCUUGCUCACAAUGGGCAUGGAUCAGAAGACCAUGCAGAAGUUACUGUAUCUCUUGUGACCCUAAUGAAAGAAUGUAUAUGAUCCUGGAAAGUGAACUGGGUG